AGAGUUUGAUCAUGGCUCAGAACGAACGCUUGCGGCGCGCCUAAUACAUGCAAGUCGAACGAGGUAGCAAUACCAAGUGGCGCACGGGUGAGUAACGCGUGGAUAAUCUGCCCUUCAGUGGGGAAUAACCAUCCGAAAGGAUGGCUAAUACCGCAUGAGGCCACAGUUUCUGCGGAAACAGGGGUUAAAGAUUUAUCGCUGAAGGAUGAGUCUGCGUGGGAUUAGCUAGUUGGUGAGGUAACGGCUCACCAAGGCGACGAUCUCUAACUGGUCUGAGAGGAUGACCAGUCACACUGGAACUGAGACACGGUCCAGACUCCUACGGGAGGCAGCAGUAGGGAAUAUUGCGCAAUGGGGGAAACCCUGACGCAGCGACGCCGCGUGAGUGAUGAAGGCCUUAGGGUCGUAAAGCUCUGUUGAAUGGGAAGAAACAAAUGACGGUACCAUUCGAGAAAGGACCGGCUAACUUCGUGCCAGCAGCCGCGGUAAGACGAGGGGUCCUAGCGUUGUUCGGAAUCAUUGGGCGUAAAGCGUGUGUAGGCGGCCAUUCAAGUCAGUUGUGAAAGCCCCGGGCUCAACCCGGGAAGUGCUUCUGAUACUGUUUGGCUUGAGUACUGGAGAGGAUAGUAGAAUUCCUGGUGUAGUGGUGAAAUACGUAGAUAUCAGGAGGAAUACCGGUGGCGAAGGCGGCUAUCUGGCCAUGUACUGACGCUGAGACACGAAAGCGUGGGGAGCAAACAGGAUUAGAUACCCUAGUAGUCC
rnacentral:rRNA from 1 species